GUCACUUUACAACUCAGCUUGGUCUGUACCCGCUCGCUGUUUGAGUGCUUUGGACUUCUUUUUUUUUUUUUUAAUUUCAAAAAGAAGUGACAGGCCAUCUCCUCACAGUGUUAAGUGAAAUAGAGCAAGAGUGACUUUCGUUCACACGACACUUUAAAUGAUUCUGAAGCGAGUGCAGUUAAAACUCAUGACAUCACGUUGCGUUUGCGUCCUGCCACCUGUAGGAGCAACGCUCGUGGUUCUUAUGUGAGGGUGGGAGAAGAGAGCUCAUUUCAUCACUUUGACUGGACGACUUGCUCAUUUCACGGCUGCAAUUGGACUGGGAUAUUAAGCUGAAUUUCAAAGAGACUGUGAUACUUGGUGUAAUUUUACAGGACAGAAGCUGAAUCCCCAGCAGGCACCUAACUGUUCAAGAUGUGGAAACAAGUCCUGCAAUUAGUUAGUUCUGAAAAAACCGGUCCCCUCGGGAUAGUCAUCGGGAUGGUCAUUGUCACUCUUUAUCUGCAGAACACGACGUGCCCUUGCACAGGACGCACGUUUGAAUGUAAUGAAAUCAUCGUCGUGCCUGUUUUUUUUAUAUUUUUCCUGGUGCUCCUGAUAGACCAGACAUUUCGGAGCACCGCGAAACAUCCAUCCACGUUUUUAUGCCUUGUAGCGAAGCGCGUUAUCAGAGCGUUUCUAAUCAGUCUGCUGUGGAUUGUAGCUGUGUUGCUUGUCACGGACUGGUAUGGUUGCUGUAACACUGAUGAAAACACGAGCAAGCUGUUCUGCAAAUCUGAGAACUUCACAACUGAACAAAAAGCUCAAAAAGAUGAAGCGGAAAUCAGGUCAAGGCUUACUGCUUACUCUCUGCUCCUGGGCAUGACUGUUGUAGCUUUCUUCAUGACUUGGAGUGGGUGGAGAAAAUGGUUUAUAAAAAAAAUUAGUUGGUGCAACAAGAAAACUUUUUACUACAAACUGAUUUUGGAAGAAGAGAAAAAAGUUCUGGAGGAGCUUUUGAGGAAAGAAGCAAAUGAGACUUUGACUAAAGAAAUUAUGAGCAACAUAAAAAGGAAAGACUGGGACGGCUGUUUUAAUGUUGCUCAACAAAUGAUCAAUAAAGCAAAACACCAAAAACCAGAAGCAACCAACCAGCAGAUCAACUGGAUCAGUGAGGGGAGCUCCAACAGAGGGGGACAGCAUCAUCAAGCAGCAGCACAUCAGCAGGCACAAAACUAUGAACUUGAUGCAGUGGCAAAAGAAAACACAGACACCAUGCCGUUAUUUAACGAAUCCGCCUGAAAGAACAUCAAGUGACACAGCUCCAGAAACAACGCAAGCGACCACAGACAAGUUAUACACCUUGUCACAGUGGUCGCUUCUUGUCAUCACAGCUGAGAGGGGAUAAAAAGUCUUAAUGUCCAGCCUAAUGUGAUUAAAAAUGAUCAGAGUGCUAAAACAGAACUUUCCCUUUUUCCCUAAAAUAUAAGUUUGAUCGACAUAAUAAUGAGAAAAGUUGUUUGAGUAGUACAAAUGACUGUUCUAAUGUCAUUGUUUCGUUGUGUGUGUGUGUGUGUGUGUGUGUGUGUGUGUGUGUGUGUGUGUGUGUGUGUGUGUUAGUGGCUAGAUCCACUGAUCUCAAUGAAUGCCUGACUUUUAAAUUGAUUUAAUAAAAAGUUGUAUGAAAUAAAUGGUGAAUAACAAACAGUUUUUGAAAGGAUGCAUUUCUCAGUAUUUGAAUUAAAUAGGGAUUAUGUUACAAUGAAUGUUCAUGUGAAAAUGUGCUAAAGACAAAUCUAACUGAAAUAGAAUUACAUAAACUGAGUGAAACAUGAAGUGAAUUAUAUCCAUAU
ensembl:lncRNA